UCAUACCAGCCGGGGGAGUAGCGGAACCCUGUACCUGAAAUCCGCUAUAGCAGGGGUAGAUUCCCGGCACGAGGAUUGCGUCUGUGUGGUCAGCACCGUUUGCAGACGUGUUGAGAAGCGGGUCUUGCGCAAUCGCUCGCUGUGAACCAUGUCAGGUGGGGAACCAAGCAGCAUUAAGCAGAUUGAGUGAUGUGCCGCAAGGGUGCCUGUUUUGAGCGUCUGCGGCGGAAAGCGAGCGGAGAGGUAGAUUCGACUGUCGGGUGUAUGA
rnacentral:SRP_RNA from 1 species